AUUGAACGCUAGCGGGAUGCCUUACACAUGCAAGUCGAACGGAGUGGCGAACGGGUGAGUAAUGUAUCGGAACGUGCCCAGUAGCGGGGGAUACCUACGCGAAAGCGUAGCUAAUACCGCAUAAUUUUGGAGCGGCCGAUAGCGGCUUAGCUAGGUGGUGGGGCAACGGCUCACCAAGGCGAAGAUCCGUAGCAGGUUUGAGAGGACGACCAGCCACACUGGGACUGAGACACGGCCCAGACUCCGACGUGAGGCAGCAGUGGGGAAUUUUGGGCAAUGGGGGAAACCCUGAUCCAGCCAACCCGCGUGUGCGAUGAAGGCCUUCGGAUUGUAAAGCACUUUUGGCAGGAAAGCGGUACCUGCAGAAUAAGCACCGGCUAACUACGUGCCAGCAGCCGCGGUAAUUC
rnacentral:rRNA from 1 species